CGCGUAGGCGGGCUAAUCAGUCUGUGGUGAAAGUUUGCGACUUAACCGUAAAAUUGCCUUGGAUACUGUUAGUCUUGAGUUCGGAAGAGGAAAGUGGAAUUCCUGGUGUAGCGGUGAAAUGCGUAGAUAUCAGGAAGAACACCGGUGGCGAAGGCGGCUUUCUGGUCCGAAACUGACGCUGAGGCGCGAAAGUGUGGGUAGCGAACAGGAUUAGAUACCCUGGUAGUCC
rnacentral:rRNA from 1 species